CAACUUUCAACAACGGAUCUCUUGGCUCUCGCAUCGAUGAAGAACGCAGCGAAAUGCGAUACGUAAUGUGAAUUGCAGAAUUCAGUGAAUCAUCGAAUCUUUGAACGCACCUUGCGCCCCUUGGUAUUCCGAGGGGCACACCCGAUUGAGUGUCGUGA
rnacentral:rRNA from 1 species